AGGAAGUGUUAGAAAGUUCUAAACAGGAAAUGUUCCAACACAGCAUCUAAGCAUGAAGCAGAAGUCACCCGUAAUUGAGUUUGCUGCCACCAACCCCAAUAGCAAGAAUUCCAGUCCUGCUGCUGCAAAACCCUCUUUUCCAGCAACAUCUUUCGGCAAUAUCGUGAAGGGACACCAAGACAAGACCCCCACUCCAAGGAAAACAAUCCACACAGAAUCAAUCAGCUGGCAAGUGGGCCAUCUUUUAGAGUCGUGAAGCCAUUCAG
rnacentral:lncRNA from 1 species